AAGCGGCAACAGCUCAAAUUUGAAAUCCCGUUUCGKGCCCGAGUUGUAAUUUGCAGAGGGUAUUUCGAGSGCKAMGWCGGCCUAAGUCCCUUGGAACAGGGCGUCWUAGAGGGUGAGAAUCCCGUCUGCGGCCGACGAUCCAUCUCMUGUGAAAUCCCUUCGACGAGUCGAGUUGUUUGGGAAUGCARCUCAAAAUGGGUGGUAAAUUUCAUCUAAAGCUAAAUACCGGCCAGAGACCGAUAGCGCACAAGUAGAGUGAUCGAAAGAUGAAAAGCACUUUGGAAAGAGAGUUAAAAAGUACGUGAAAUUGUUGAAAGGGAAACGCUUGCCAAUAGACCGAUCGGGGGCUGCAGUUGGGGAUUAUCUUUCCCGGCGUGA
rnacentral:rRNA from 1 species